GAUUUCAUGACAAAGGCACCAAAAGCAAUUGCAACACAAGCAAGAAUGGACAAAUAGGAUCUAAUUAAAGUUAAAGAGCUUCUGCACAGUAGAGGAAACUAUCAACAGAGUGCACAGACAACCUACAGAAUGGGAGAAAAUUUUUGCAAACUAUGCAUCUGACAAAGGUCUAAAUCCAGCGUCUAUAAGAACUUGCAUAGCUUGAAUCAGUCCUGCAUCCCAGGAAUAAAGCUUAAUUGAUCAUGGUGAAUUCACUUUUUGAGAUAAAAGUGGUGUGGCCAAGAAUGGAAUUGAGAACACUGCCUCCAAUAAGACAAAACUAAAUAAGCCAAAUGGUGGAAUUUCAAGGCCUAUACACCGUGUCUGGGUUUCACGGGUGUUCAAAACAAGGUACAGUGUAAUGCAGGGAACUUGAAAAGCAGAGCGUUUGACCUCAGCAUCCUGAAAUCAGGUGUGAGAAGAAGAAAACAAGACACCUUGUAAUUAAGACAGAUCCAAGACCAGAUUAAUAAUAAAUAUGGCAGGAAACAUUGGGAAGUGUCACCCUAGAGGCCGAACCAUGGAUUUUAAUAUGUAUCCUUUCAAUUAGCCAUUGACUCUGUGGACAUCCUUUCAUACUUAAUGGAAGCAGCCUAUGUUAAAAUUCAAAUAAAAUCUCA
rnacentral:lncRNA from 1 species